rnacentral:rRNA from 1 species
UUGUUGCUUCGGCGGGCCCGACUUACUGGCCGCCGGGGGGCUUACGCCCCCGGGCCCGCGCCCACCGAAGACCCCCUCCAACUCUGUCUGAAGAUUGAAGUCUGAGUGAAAAUAUAAAUUAUUUAAAACUUUCAACAACGGAUCUCUUGGUUCCGGCAUCGAUGAAAAACGCAGCAAAAUGCAAUACGUAAUGUGAAUUGCAAAUUCAGUGAAUCAUCGAGCCUUUGAACGCACAUUGCGCCCCCUGGUAUUCCGGGGGGCAUGCCUGUCCGAGCGUCAUUGCUGCACUCAAGCCCGGCUUGUGAGUUGGGGCCCGUCCCCCGAUCUCCGGGGGACGGGCCCGAAAGGCACCGCGCGGCACCGCGUCCGGUCCUCCAGCGUAUGGGGCUUUGUCACCCGCUCUGUAGGCCCGGCCGGAGCUUGACGAUCAACCCAAAUUUUUAUCCAGGUUGACCUCGGAUCAAGGGAGGAUACCCGCUGACCUUAACUAUAUCUAUAAGGACCAGGA